GGAAUGGCAACACCUGCCCCUCUGUGCACAUUUCUCCAGCCUCCCUGUUCCUGAGAGUAACCCUGCCCUCAUUCAAUAAUGGUGUGGAAGGCUGGGUCUGCACAAACUAGUCAACAAAUUUCAGAUCUUUUAGGGCAAAUUAAAGUGAGAAUCUUGAUGCUUUUUCCCAAAAAGGUGUGCUGCAUCAAAGAUCAGGGUCUCUGUCUCCUUCUUCUUCAAAAAGAAAGAGCAUAAUUUAAAUUGGCUAAUUAUUUAUCUAAAAUACUAAACAUUAUAUUUUAAAAGUUUCUAGUAUACCCCCUAUAAACACUCACACAACCCAAUACAAGGGAAAAAAAUUAGGACUUUUCAGGAUUCAGGAAGCAAAUUAUUUAGCAGGUACCUCUGCACCAGAUACAUUCCAGAAUAUCCGGAAGAACGAGAACAACACUAGGUUGGUUUUGCUGUUGUCCUCUCUGCUCAAAGAGUCAGGGGCAAGAGCUUCAGGUACUUUUGGUUUCUUCACAUCCUAAUUCCUCAUAGGCUUCUACUUAAAAUCUAUAAUUAGUUAUCAAUACCCUCGGUUCAGUGACUAAUUUUCUAAUGUAAUGGCAAGUCUUUCAUCAGCUGCCAUUAACAGUCCAUCUGACAGCACUGAACACUCACAUUGGCCCUGGGAAGCUCCACACAGCACUCUGCAGUGUUAACAGUGUGAUGUAGGCACAGCAGCUAGGAAAGUGUGCUACUGUGAGACAGCUGUGAAGGAGACAGCCGAGUGUGCAGACAAAAGGCAGAGUACGUUAUUUGGUUUAGGAACCAAUUUUACUUAUUCCUACUAAGCUACCAUCUGAGAAUCCUAGGGAAGCUCUACAAGUCCACUGUGGCAUGCGACAACAGCCCCGCUCUGCAAUGCCUGCUACUCUGGGAACACUGGGCUUUUACUGGAGGUGCUGCUUUCAUGGCUUUGAAAACUAUUAUGUAGCCUCAGAAAUAUAUCAUCGUGGGAUAGAAGCAUGUGUUACUGCCUAAAAAUGACUUGUGCAUUUGUUAUGGAAAUUUAAUUUAUACAAUGUUUACAGAACUACUUUUAUAACUUCCAGACUUUGUACAACAUUCUGCUUAUAUCCACAAGAUGCAAUUCCAGAGUCUCUGCUGUGGGGACAGGCACAGGGAGAGCAGGGCCUUGUGGGACCUUUAGGUCAUAUCGACAUGGGCCACAUGUUACUCCUAAGUCCACUUCAGAGCAGAGAUAACAUUACUCCUUUUCACGUUGAAGUGAUUGAUUUGUUUUUAAAAAUUCAGCUAAUGUCUAGCUUUCAUUUUUUUACUGAGAACUUCAUGUUAGUUUCCUAUUAGAAUAGGGAUGCUAUGCAGUCUUGGCUUUUUUAAGGGCCAAGUUUCAUCAUUUAUCUAAAGAAGAAAAUAUGCAAAAUAUCUGGUCUUGUUAAGCGUGCAAUAUUCUAUUUUUAUGUAAAAAUAAAAAUUCAUGGGGGGGAUUAUUUAUUAAGCAUGAAACCUAAUAUGUAUAUAUUAGAAAUUCUUUGUAACAUGCAUGUUAUAGCACACAUUCCUGGAAGUCAUCACAUGCUGUUACCUCCUACACACUGCCACUUCAGUUUGGAAAUAAACUUGCUAAAAAUAGACUUAAA
rnacentral:lncRNA from 1 species